ACUCAAAUGAAUAGACGGGGGCCCGCACAAGCGGUGGAGCAUGUGGUUUAAUUCGAAGCAACGCGAAGAACCUUACCAAGAAUUGACAUCUACCCUUAACCUGUGGAAACACAGGAAGCCUUUUGGCGGGGUAAGACAGGUGGUGCAUGGUUGUCGUCAGCUCGUGUCGUGAGAUGUUGGGUUAAGUCCCGCAACGAGCGCAACCCUUGCGUCUAGUAGCCAGCAUUUAAGGUGGGCACACUAGAGGGACUGCCGUGGAUAACACGGAGGAAGGUGGGGACGACGUCAAAUCAUCAUGCCCCUUAUGACUUGGGCAACACACGUGCUACAAUGGGUUUUACAAAGUGAGGCGAGACGGCGACGUUAAGCAAACCACAAAAAGAAACCCUCAGUUCGGAUUGCAGUCUGCAACUCGACUGCAUGAAGUUGGAAUCGCUAGUAAUCGCAAAUCAGCAUGUUGCGGUGAAUACGUUCUCGGGCCUUGUACACACCGCCCGU
rnacentral:rRNA from 1 species